rnacentral:lncRNA from 7 species
CUUUCCAGUCUCUUACCAAAGACUGCAGAGUAACGGAAAUCAUCAGAGCAAUUCCAGUCUGCUGGUGGUAGAGUCGGGGAUCUACAGGCUGGUAGACACGACAUCUGACCGGGGGUCUGGCAGGCUCAAGAGAACCUAUAUCCUGAUCUCAAAGCUUUCUGGAGCAUAAUGGGCUAAGUGGCCUCCUCACUGCAGACAUCUUCAGCUUGUCACGGGAUCGCAUAUCUACAAGGUAGGAGUACUCUACUGUGCCCUGCAUCCAUGGAAGAAGCAUCUGCUAUUGGCAUGAGGCAUCAAUCAAGCAACUCAAGAGUCUCCUUGAACAGAGAAUCCCAUAAUAGAUUUUCUGAUCCACCAGAGUUCAAUGGAAAUAGGACCCACACUGUUUCUCAAGCUGCUCGUUUUGAAUGUUCCAGACAUAAGGGCCCAGCUGGAGUUUCACCAGCUGCAGUCACUACACGCAGGGCACAAAGGAAGCCUCCUGCUGUCUGCAUGUUCUGGGUGAUGGCUCAGCCUCAUACAUCCACUGCCCCCUGAACUUGGCCGCUCUGUGUCCUCAUACUCCCUGAUGUUCAGGAGCAGCUUGCUCAGUUCCUCAGGAAGAGCAAUGUAACAAUACAAAUACACUGAUUUAAUGCUUUUAAGCAGCAUUAUUGAUUGUAACUGCUCCAAAUGAAUAAAAUAUUCUGU